GUGCCUUCGGGAACUGUGAGACAGGUGCUGCAUGGCUGUCGUCAGCUCGUGUUGUGAAAUGUUGGGUUAAGUCCCGCAACGAGCGCAACCCUUAUCCUUUGUUGCCAGCGGUUAGGCCGGGAACUCAAAGGAGACUGCCAGUGAUAAACUGGAGGAAGGUGGGGAUGACGUCAAGUCAUCAUGGCCCUUACGACCAGGGCUACACACGUGCUACAAUGGCGCAUACAAAGAGAAGCGACCUCGCGAGAGCAAGCGGACCUCAUAAAGUGCGUCGUAGUCCGGAUUGGAGUCUGCAACUCGACUCCAUGAAGUCGGAAUCGCUAGUAAUCGUGGAUCAGAAUGCCACGGUGAAUACGUUCCCGGGCCUUGUACACACCGCCCGUCACACCAUGGGAGUGGGUUGCAAAAGAAGUAGGUAGCUUAACCUUCGGGAGGGCGCUUACCACUUUGUGAUUCAUGACUGGGGUGAAGUCGUAACAAGGUAACCGUAGGGGAACCUGCGGUUGGAUCACCUCCUUACCUUAAAGAA
rnacentral:rRNA from 2 species